GAUGAACGCUAGCGGCAGGCUUAACACAUGCAAGUCGAGGGGCAGCAUGAUUUAACUUCGGGUUAGAUUGAUGGCGACCGGCGCAAGGGUGCGUAACGCGUGAGCAACUUGCCCUUAUCAGGGGAAUAACCGUUGGAAACGACGACUAAUACCCCAUAGCAUCACUUCAAGGCAUCUUUUAGUGAUUAAAGAAUUUCGGAUAAGGAUAGGCUCGCGUGACAUUAGCUAGAUGGCGGGGUAACGGCCCACCAUGGCGACGAUGUCUAGGGGUUCUGAGAGGAAGGUCCCCCACACUGGAACUGAGACACGGUCCAGACUCCUACGGGAGGCAGCAGUGAGGAAUAUUGGUCAAUGGUCGAGAGACUGAACCAGCCAUGCCGCGUGAAGGUCACGGCCCUAUGGGUCUUAAACUUCUUUGUAAGGGAGCAAUAAGCUUUACGUGUAGAGUGAUGAGAGUACCUUACGAAUAAGCAUCGGCUAACUCCGUGCCAGCAG
rnacentral:rRNA from 1 species